GUUCUCUUGGGCGGCACAUGUACCAAAAUUGGAACGAUACAGAGAUUAGCAUGGCCUCUGGGCAAGGAUGAUACGAAAAUUCGUGAAGCAUUCCAUAGUUUU